rnacentral:lncRNA from 1 species
UAGCACUCACUAACCGCGUACGUCAGCCGAGUGACCCUGUCUCUUCGUCUGCCGAGUGACCCUGUCUCUUCGUCAGCCAGCCGAGUGACCCUUCUCCUUCAGCUGCCGAUUUAUGACGUGACUCGGCGAGAGCUGGCCGACUCAUGGCAUAACUCGGCUAGAGCUGGCCGACUCUUGGCGUUACUCGUCGACCUUUCUCCUUCAGCUUCCCUCUGCGAGAGGUUAAAUAGAGGAGCACCACUGUCACUCGGUACACGCAAGAAAACACUUUCAGAACACAGUCCAGCAGCCGAGUGAGGGUAUUUCCAUCUCGUGACUCUGCGCGCACAGAGAAGCGAGAGGGCAGGUGCCUCCGGAGCCCUUGCCGUUCGAGACCUUGCACGAGUGAUCGGCAAUUAGGUUUUUAGGGAGCGUCUACGCGACUGCCCAAAGUCUUCUUCCUGCUGACAUGACAAGUGAAGUCGGACAAGGAUCUAGAUCCUCGGAGCGCAUGGCAGGGUAUGAUCAAUUCAUCUCCUUACUGUUUUUCAUUCUGCAAAUUAUAUAUGUUCAUACCUGCUGUUUUAUUUAUAGCCAUAAAUUUAUCCAAUCUGUUUUGUCGUAUUAUAUCAUGACGUGUCUGAUGCCUGAUCAUACUAGUAAUAUGAUAAAUCUGUUUGUCUUAAUUUUACAGUCAUGUUGUUUAUGUUGCUAUCUGUCUAUUUUCAGUUGUUCCAUAAUAAUACAUGUUCCAUGCUUAUUUGCUUAUUAUAUUUAUAUGAUUCAUAUGUUUCAUGUUCUCUUGAUCCAUAUUGUUAUGGAUAUAUUUGAGAUAAUGAUUUCUAUGAUUGAACAUAUUUUAUAUGUCAUCAUCAUAAUGCUAAUUUAUGGAAUUAAAAUAAUACGGAAAAUGUCUAUAUUUCUAACAUUCCAAAAACCUAAUGUUAGGCAUUUUUCUGUCAGAGGUUUUGCUGCUGUGCUAAAGCCUGAUCCUUUUGAUGGUAAAAACUUCUUGAUAUGGAAAGCUAAAAUGGAAUUGUGGCUAACUGCAAUGUCUUGUUUUCAUGCCGCUGAGGGCAAGCCUGCAAACUUACCUCCUGAGGAUGAGGCUAAGUUUAAGGCUGAAGACAAACUCUUUCGAGGAGCAGUAAUUAGCGCACUGGAUACUAAAUUCCAGAAAAGCUAUAUCAUCCUUCCCACAGGGAAAGAGUUGUGGGAUGCACUUGUCGGAAAGUUUGGAGUAACUGACGCCGGUAGCGAGCUGUAUCUCAUGGAGCAGCUGUAUGACUACAAAAUGGUUGAGAACCGAUCUGUAGUGGAACAGGCUCAUGAGUUUCAGGCACUAGCUAAGGAACUCGAACUUUUUCCUUGUCCUUUGCCUGACAAGUUUGUGGUUGGCGGUAUAAUCGCCAAGUUGCCACCUUCUUGGAAGGACUUUGCUACCUCUCUUAAACAUAAGAGACAAGAGUUCAAUGUGGAAGAGCUCAUUGGUACUCUUGAUGUUGAGGAAAGGGCUAGAACUAAGGACAAUGGAAAAGGUGUGGAGACCUCUACUGCUAAUGUGGUGCAGAAGAGAAACUUCUGCAAGUUUAACAAGAAGAAAAACUAGAACAAACCAGAGAACACAAAUAAACUUGUUCAACCAGCACAGUUUAAAAAGAAGAACAACAAUAACAAGGGAAAGGGAGGAUGCUUUGUCUGUGGCAGUGAUCAACAUUGGGCAAGAGAGUGCCCUGAUCGCAAGUUCACUCAAGACAAGAAAUCAGCUCAUGUUGUAACCACUGAAACUGAAGGAGGAACAUCUGGGUAUGGUAAUUCUUUACCAUUUGUUCUUUCAGUCUGUAAUUCACCUGAGUGGUGGAUGGACAGUGGUGCAAACAUUCAUGUGUGUGCUGAUGCCUCUAUGUUCACUUCCUACCAGGUCGGGAGGUCUGGCGCCUUGUUGAUGGGUAAUGGGUCGCGUGCUCAUGUUCUUGGUGUUGGUACGGCCAUUCUGAAGUUUACUUCGGGAAAGACGGUGCCAUUGAAGAGCGUGCAGCAUGUGCCCUCUAUCAAGAAGAAUCUCGUUAGCGCUUCUAUGCUAUGUCGAGAUGGAUACAAAGUUGUUCUUGAGUCUAAUAAAUGUGUUGUGUCGAAACAUGGUACUUUUGUUGGUAAAGGAUAUGACUGCGGAGGCUUGUUCCGCUUAUCACUGCAUGAUGUGUGUAAUAAACUGGUGAAUUCUGUUCAUUUUUCUGAUGAGUCAGAUUUAUGGCAUUCACGUUUUUGUCAUGCAAGCUUUGGUUGUCUUAUGCGGUUAGCAAAUAUAAAUUUAAUUCCUAAAUUUAACUUGGUCAAAAAGUCUAAGUGCCAUGUGUGUGUUGAAUCAAAACAACCCCGCAGGCCUCAUAAGGCUGCUGAGGCGAGGAGUUUGGCACCUCUAGAACUUAUUCAUUCUGAUCUGUGCGAGAUGAAUGGAAUUUUGACCAAAGGUGGUAAAAGAUACUUUCUCACUUUUAUAGAUGACUCCAUGAAAGUGCAUUCAUCCCUUUUGUGAGUUUUGGUGAUUUGGAUAACAACACAUUUAAAGGUCUAACAAGUUUGCUAAGUGUUGAACAGGGAAUUCAGUAUGAUGAACAUACUUGAAUAGUGUAUAAUGAUCAGUGAACAAAGUUCAACACAAGGUCAAAUAACCAGUGAGACAAUGCAAAUGGAUAUAAUAUGGUCUCUAUAUUGGUUUGAAUAUAUGGACAAGUCCUGAGAAAUCACUAUGCAUAAAUAUGAUCAUAAUAGAGGUUGAAGUGAUUAAGAGGAUUGGUCAAGCCAAAGUGAACAAGAUAUGAGGAAUCGUGAAUUGGCUUGACCAUAUUACUAUUAGUCCAUAUAUGAGUAUAUGAGAAUCAAACUAGAGCUUGAUUGAUCUUAGCAGUUAUAUCUAGAUGACAUUCAAGCAAGGUUCACAAUAUUGAAGAAAUGAUUCUCUCAAUGGAUGCUCAAUAGGAUGUGACUCAAGAAUGGCUUGAUAGGGUGAAGAUAGCAAGGAAAGGGCUUCGAGGAACUAAGCGAAGGUGAAGGCCAAGCGACGGCUUGUAGACCGAGGUACCAUGGCUAAGGUGAAGAAGAGAGUACUUGCACUAAGUCGAUGAACUAAUCAGCUAUGAAGAGUUACAACAUGUUGAUGCAUCAGUAAGGUGACUUGAAGCCAUGAUUUGAACUCAUAUAUGGUGAAAUGGCACAAGUCAUAGGCUCGAUUUGUGUUUGCUUCAAAAGGUGAGACAAAGAUGUUUGUGAUCCUUAUGAAGCAACACCAUGGAGAAAUCACACUUGAGACACCAAUGACUCAAGGAGUUUACUUAAUUAUAUUUUAUUUAACUUGAGUAUAGGAAUCGUCGUGCUAUCAAGGGAGAUCCAAAAAGAAGGUUGGUGUUGGUACUAAAGCUCAAAAUCCUUGAUCUAAAACUUCCAUUUUACCCUUGUUAAUCCUUAGUGAAAGUAUGUAGUACAACCUUUUUAAGUCUAUCUUGGUCAAAAUUGAUUUUUGGAAAAACAGGUUCAACCGGUUUUAAAACAGGUUCAACCGGUUUUUGCACUGUUCACCUUUUUUCAAAAUACUGGUUCAGCCGGACACUCAACCGGACACUCAACCGGUUUUUGUCUGGUGGAAACAGGUUCAACCGGUUUUAAAACAGGUUCAACCGGUUUUAAAACAGGUUCAACCGGUUUUUGCACUGUUCACUUUUUUCUGCCAGUCUGCUGUGUCAGCCAAAAAGCUGUGCGCAGCUUUUUGAAAAACCGGUUCAACCGGUUUUGGGACCGGUUCAACCGGUUUUUGGGCAGAAAAGUCAAAAACGGCUAGUUUUGGAGCCCCACCUAUAUAUACUCACUCCUACCUCUCUCCCCACAGAAGAGCACGCACAAAACUUCAUUCCCAACCUGAGAAACACCUCCCACUCUCUCUCACACACCUCUUGCCUCUCCCAUUUCAAAUCUUUGGAGAAGAAAUCUUUGAGUGAGUUUGAGAGCUGCGGUUUUUGUGCUUCAUCUCCAAAUCUCUCUUACUCUUCUUCAUUCGAGCUUUGGUACUACAUCGAGUUCUUUGUGGAUUCAUUACUCUUGGAGCUUCUAGCUCCUAGACGACUAGGUGUCUCUUGUGAGUCUCCAAAUCUUGUGGAAGACCACAAGAAAGUUUGUAUUACCCGCUCGUUUGAGCAAAGAUUAGUGUGUGGGCUUGACCUUUGUGGUCGACAAAGGGAGGAUUAGGGUUGAAAGAGACCCGGCUCUUUGUGGGCGCCUCAACGAGGAAGUAGGGCACCUUGGUGGUGUGACCGAACCUCGGGAUAAAUCUUGUGUCUCUUGUGUUCUUGUUCAUUGUGCUUAUUCGUGUUCUUCGUUCUCUCACCAUUCCGUGAAAGAUUUGUUUAUAUCUUUUUGGUGUGUGGAUUUUGAGAAGUGCCCUUCUCAGAUCUACUACUUUGAACCCUGUGGAUCAUUUAGAACAUCUCAUUUCCAAAGUUAACUGGGUGAAUUUCGAGAUCAAUUCAGUUUUACCCAGUUUGCUUCUAGUUUUUGUUGAAAAAGUUUUAACUUGCCUAUUCACCCCCCCUCUAGGCAACUUUCAAUUGGUAUCAGAGCCUAAUCCUCGUUCUAACGCUUAACCGCGUGAGGAAAGAUCAUGUCGGGGGGACUAAGAAACAAAAAUGCUUCUAAGCUUGAAAAAGUUGAGGUUGCCUCGACUUCAUCUUUUGGUGCAGAUGUUGAUCCUAGGGCAUUAGAUCUUGCCAUGAGAAUCGCCGAAAGGAUGUUCCUCAAAAUGAAGGAAGAUGAGGCGAAGAACAAAAUUGAAGAAGAAAAUGAUCGAUGGAGACCAAACGACGAAUCCACCUCUUCACAAGGUUCGUCUUUCAAAUCCACUUCUCAUAUGUGCUUUGUUGCUAAUGAGAGUGACAGUGAAAGCGAAAGUGAGGAUGAGGAGGAGCAUGAAAGUGAUAGUGAAGAUGAGGAUGAUCUUCAAAAAUUCUUCGCUCAACUAAGCAAGAAGAACCGGAUGAGCUUGCUCAAACUCAUGAAAAGAGCAGAAGAACAAAAAGAAAUGCUUCAUAAGCAAGAAGACUUCCUCAUCAGAAAAAUCGAAGACUUAGAGAAGUUGACCAAAGAGCAUGAGAAGCUAAAGUGCUCUCAUGAUGAUUUGGUCCAAAGGUAUGAAGACAUUUCAAUUGAGCAAAUUAAAGCUGUUAAUCAUUCAUCAUAUAUUGCUCAAUUAGAAAAUAAAAAUGCUAUGUUCAAGAACACGAUAGAAAGGCUAAAUAUUGAAAAUCUAGCUUUGCAAGAAAAACAUGAUAUGCUUGUGUGCUCUCAUAAUAAAUUUAUGGAUUCACAUAUCAUGUUAGAAAUGACUCAUGAGGUUGUGUUAACUAAUUUUAAAUCAUACCAACCUCACAUAUGCACAUGUACUCAAGUAGAAACUAUAUUAUCAUGUGCUAACAAAUGUUGCUCUCAAGAAAGCCAAUCUUCCAUUGAGCUAGAAAUUUCAGGAAUUAGUGAUAUUUCUAUCACACAAGAAAAUAAAGAGCUCAAGGAAGAAGUUGGAAGGCUAAGAAGGAGCUUAACUAUUUUGAAGGGAAAGUGUCAUGCUCAACCUUCUCAAGAUAACCGUGAUAAUAUGGUGAAAAAGCUUGAGAAGGGGACAACCGUAGCAUGCACAAAACCCCUUCAAAAGAAUACCAAGCUUUCCAAGAAGGACAUGAGCAAGACUCAAGGUGAGAAAAUUAAUGCUCAUAUUAUUUGCUCUAACAAUGUACCUAUGUGCUUCAACAAAGAAAGAUCAAAGAGAAGCGAUAGGAGGUGCUAUGGAUGCAAGGAGAAGGGUCAUGAAAUUGGUUCAUGCCCCCGUAUGAAGAACCAAGACCUUGCAUGAUCAAGAAAGAUGACCAUCAAGAAGGAUGAAAGCAAAAGGCAAAUGCAUUGCAAGGACAAGCAUCGCAUUUGCUACAAUUGUCGUGAAAGAGGUCAUCUAUUCAAGGUUUGUCCAAAGGGUAAAACACCUAAGCCUAACAUGUCAAUACAUUCAAAUAUACUUAGGAGACCCAAAUUUGACUCUUGUGCUAGAAAGGUGAUGAGUUCACCACAUUCUAGGACCAAGGCUAUUUGGGUGCCUAAGUCCUUAUUGACUAACCUUGAUGGACCCAUCAUGAGAUGGGUACCAAAAUAUACUUAAUAAGAUUUUGCAGGUACCUAGAGAUGAUAUGAAGCUUUGGGGUGCUUAAGCAGUUUAACUCAAUCCUUAUCUCAAGCUAUCAAUCUUACAUUGUUUAUCCUUUAAGAUUGACCCAAAGAUGAAUUUAGUUGUUAUAUCACUAACUUCAUAUUCAUCUCUAGCAAGAACUUGUGUUGUAGGGAAUAAGGAUUAACCUUUGUCAAGCAAAAUGCCUACAACUAAGGGAUAUCCAAAGGAUGGUAAAAAUUAAAUCUUAGGUGCACAUUGCUUUUAAUUAUUAUAUUCCUUUGUGUCUUUUGUAGCCACAUAGGAAAAAUGAAGCACAUGAGAAUGAACUUAAAAUAUUUUACCUUGCUUUGGAAAGAAUCCAAUUAUAUGGUAGAUUGCAUAUUUGUUAUUCUUAUAUGUGGCAAUCUACAUACUUUAAUUGAUGAUAAUUAAUUCGUGGCAUAUUUCAAAUGAAUUAUCGUAUUAUUUCCAUGACCUAGACAUAAAGAGGACUAUCCCAUGUUCUUAAAUGAAUAGAGUGCUAAGUAAGAAAUUCAAAUUCUUAAAGCACUUAUCAAAAGGGGAAUUCUCUAUAUGACUAGAGUUGUGAGACUAAUAUUUCUAUCUAAGUGUUUAUGUAGUCUCACAACAUGAGAAUGUGUUUCCCAAAUGGAGUGUGCCAUUCAACAUUCAAAGAAGAUCGAACCAAUACUAUGUGAUGUAUUCAUUCUUGUUUAAAUUGGUUUUGAGUCUUCUCCAUUAAUCACUCACCAUGUUAUGAAUUAGAGUUGCCCUAUAAACUUAAUUAAAUAAUCAUGCUACUUUCAUCUUUUUUUAAUUGAUGUUAUGCAUGAUGCUUUUAAGGGUAAUUUAGUUCAUAUCAUGAGGUUUCCUUAUUUUAGUAACCUUCUUGUCAUACAUAUACUGGAGGUUGCUAAAUAGGAAACUAUUGCUUGUGUUACUAAUACAAUCUCUUUUAAGAUAUUUCAUGGAAAUUCAUAAGUAGAGAUUGUGCUCUUUCAAUUGGUAAAAUCACAAGCUUUAAAGGUUAAUCUUCACCUAAAAGAAAGAUUAGGAAUGCUCAAGGCAAAGUGUUUUAUCGACUAGUUUUAAAAGGAAAAGAGAUAACAAAGAAGGAAGUCUCCACAAAUGAUGAAAAGAAGAAUACUAAGGUGACACCACCACCGAUAGUAAGAUCUUUCAAAUUAGUACAACAAAUGGUACACUCUACUUGGUGGUAAGUAUUCUUAAGGAUAAGUCAAUUCAUUGCAAAUUUUUCAUGCCUUGACCAAUAUAUGUAAUGUACUCCUCUUGAGAAUCUUCAUUGAAUUGAAAGUGCAUUUGAUAAGUCAUUCAAAUACUUGAUGCACAUAUCUAGUGGGAGCACAUUAUAUAUAUCUUGUGUCGUAGAGAAUAAGUUUUCCUUGAGUAAGCUAUACUAAGACAAUCCAAAAUGGUAAAUUUGUAUCUCAUUCAUAUGGAUUGUAAUCUUUGUUUUCUAAAUAGCUACUCUUGAUACAGUUUAAAAUUCCCUUAUCGUUAAAUCUAAAAGUGCAUAAGAAUCUUUUUGUUGAUAUUCAUGACAUACAUAUGCACUAACAUGGAUAUGAUUUUUAAACUGUAAAAGGUACAUUUAGUGAUCCAUACUCUCUAAAUCUUGUAAACCUAUAUUUUUGAUAUCUUAGAAAUUUAUUUCAAUCGGUAUCCAUAUGCUUCACAUUCAACUGGAUCACUAAGUUGUAAAUUCCAUGCAUAACUUGUCUUCAUGUUAUGAAUGCUUGUGCGACUAACCUUGAUAAGCUAGGUGCACCCAAGGUCAAGCUAGGUUCAUCAUCAAGAAGGCAACACAUGAUGUAUCAAAAAAAGGGAGAAAAGGCUCCUAUUCUUAACUCUAGCUUUUAUCUGUGUGAUUAAAUAUUGACUUGAAACCAUGUAAGAUGGUUGUCAAGUAUAUGUGGGUACUCAAGGCUCUUACUACUGAUCUCAAAGGACCCAAUUCAAAUUGGGUACCAAGAUAUGAAGCUUAAACUUGUUUUGCAGGAUCACUCCUUCAAUGGAUCAAGUUGGGUGCUCGAUAAUGAAUGUAUAAAUCAUCUUUGGAGAUAGUAGCUAGGGUGGUAACAACUGAAUCUCAAGUGCAUAUUAUUUUCAAAUCUUAUCUUUUGUGACUAGUGUAGCCACUAAGGAAAAAGAAGCACUUGAGGAUAUACAUCAGUUGUUGAUUAUGAAAUAAAGGUCUAAUUGGAAGUUGAAUGAAUAUUAUCAUAUGGUGAACAAUCCAAAAUUAUGUGAUGUAUUCUCUAUCUAGUUAAUUUGGAUUUGAUUCUUCUGUAUUAGACACUCACCAUAAUAUGGAUUAAGUCAUCCCUUUAGACUUCAUUGAAUAACCAUGCAUAUUAUCCAUGUCAUUCAAAAUAUAUUGUGCAUGAGGGUUCAAGGAAAUUUAGUCCAUAUUAUGAUGUUUCUCUAUUUUAGCAACACGCUUGUCUUCCAUAUAUAAAGGGUUGCUAAAUAAGAAACUAGUGAUUAUGCUACUAAUGCCAUCUCUUGUGUCGAGUUUAUCCCUAGAAAAUCUAUGUUAAGAGAUGGUGCUUGUUUUAAAUUGGAUAAAUCACAAGCUUAAAGGAUACUAUUCAACUAAAGUAAGAUGAAGUUGAUAAGAGGCCAAGGUAUGAAAACUUCCUCUCCUUUAGUUGUUUUAGUAUUCUAUCCUUAGUGGAAUGUACCAUAGUAUAGGUUAAAUUCCCCGCAAUAUAAAAUGUUCAAUAGUGCAUAUAACUUUGACGUUAACUAUAUGUGUGCACUAAUUUAAAGGAAUUUAGUCUAUCCUUUUGGGUUUCAAUAAUGAUGAUUCAUUUUCCAUCCACAUAUAAGGAUCAUCAUUUGUGAAACCCUCUCUUGUGUUUUUAAUGCUCUCUUUUCUAAGUGUUACAACGAGGUCCUUCCAAGAGCUUUCAAGAUGGAUUCAAAAUCUACAAAAAAUGAAUGAAGUUCAAGAUCACUUGGUUGGAUGAAACUACAAAGAGAAAAGAGAUCACAGUGAAUCAAGAAGGGAGUUACAUUUUUUUUGUCAACCAAAUAAUGAAGAUGCAGUGACAUAUUUAUAUGAUAUCCUUCAUUAUGAGGUUUGAGAUUCAUAUUAGCAUGCUCUACCCUUCAAGAUUUCAAUUGAUAUACUUUUAGUUCUUAAACUUUUAAUUGGUAUAAUUUUCAUCAUCUAUGUAAAGCAUGUUAUGUUAAACUAAGAUAUAGUGCAAACAUCUCCUUUAACCUCGUAUUGUUGAUGUGCAUAAGUGUACUUUGUGUACUCUUGCAUGCACAAAUUGAUGGAGAGUUUAGCCUAUAUCUUGUGAGACUAAUGAUUUCUUUCAAGUUCAUGUUGUGUAGUCUCACACCUUGGAGAACAUCAAAUGAGGAUGAGUGGUUCCAAGGAAAUGAUCAAAUAUUUACCACAUGUCACCCCAUGGAUUAGUUCUAUUGGGGAACGAUAUGUGUUCUCUAGCAUAAAUUCAAUUGUUUCAAAUAUAUUAUGCCUUGACCAAGAUAUAUGAUGAACUCCUCUAAGAAUCCUAAUUGAAUCAAUUGCAUGUUACAAGUAAUUCAAGUACUUGAUGCAUACAUUUAGAGGGAGCUCAUUCUAUAUCUUGUGUCCUUAAAGACUAACAUUUUCUUUUAGUGAAUUUGUGUAGUUCUUUGAAGAGAUUGAGUUUCUCUUGAUCGUUUAAAGAGGAUAAGUUUCUCUUUGAAAUGUCAAGCCUAUCAAAAGCUAAGAUAGAAAUUCAUGAUUAUAAUGAAGACCAUAUGGCAUGGAACAAAGGUGUGUCACUCCAUGAACUAUUGUAUUACAUUUGUGUAUCUAGGCUUUUACAAGUUAGUGUAUGUAUGUAUAUGCAAUAUCUUAAGUCACAUCAUAAGGUUGCACUUGAAUCUUGGCUUAAAAAUAUUGCAUAUCAUGUCUAUUAGUAUACUGUUUGAUUAUGAGUAAUUCCUUAAAUUGGUGCAAUUUCAUAUUUUCAUACUUUAUUUGUACCAAGGUUCAAAUUGUAGAACUUAAUCCCCUGACCUCACAAGUCCAAGUGCAUAAGCUAAAUAAGUAUUCAUCACUUGUAUGCAUACAUUUAGGGGGAGAAUGGUCUAUAAUUUGAAUCUUUGAGACUAACUUCAUUUUCAAGUCUAUUAUGUGUGUAGUCUCAAAUUAGAAAGGAACCUUCGGGCAAAGACAAUCGCUUCCACUGCAAAUUUGAUGGGUAUCAAAGAUUCUUUGCUCCAAUAAAUGUAUCUUCUAUACAUUUCAUAAGAAAAUGAGUUUCUCUUGUAUAUGCUACUCCAACGUCAUCUAAAAUUGGUAAAUAUGUAUCACAUCCUUUUGGAUUGCAAAUGUCUGAAGUAGCAUAGCUUAUAAAUUAUCUUGUCUAGAACUUAAUUGAUUAAAUAGUGCACAUGUUCCUUAUGUUGUAUGAUUAUGUUCAAUUGAUACUCCUUGUAUGCCAAUGGUACUUUAAGUUGCAAAUAAGUACUCUAAACAGGUAUCAAUUGAAUUCAUAUAUAUGUGUGCACUAAAACUUGAGGAGAACUUAGUGCAAUAUGCAAUUAGUGAUCUGAUUAUCUAUCAAAUUGUAUCAAUUGGUGGUUUUCAAUUGAUAUUUUUCGUACAUGAUCACUAGUUGUAUAAUUCAUACUUGUGCAAUUUUUAUGAUGCCUCUUGUUAUGAUAAGAAAAUGCUAGGUGACAUCUAGACUCUAGGUAUCAAGAUUUAUCUUUCAAUUAGUAUGACAAUAUUCAUUUGAUAUCUUGGACCUAUGUCACAAUUAUGCCAACAAGAGCUUGCAAAUGAAUUCUAAAUCCAACACAAGUCUGGAAACCCCUUGAAAAGGUAAAAUGCAAAGGUACAUCACUUAUGACACUUAUCCAUUACCUUUGUGCCAUCUAAGGACCCUCUUCAUGAUAGUGUGUUCACAUCAUGCUUAAUCAUAAUUUCUACCCUUUAUAUUCUUUGUAUCCUUUUUGGAGAUUUAUGACAAAGGGGGAGAAAUUGUGCAUUAAAGCUUACCUUUAGUCUUAUGUAACUAAGUGUAAGAAGACUUUUGAAAAGGGGAGAAAUAAUUAACAAAAAGGGGGAACCAUAAGAAAAACAUAAGAUGUAGAAAGUUGAUGAGUGCAUACUAUGUCAUGAGCAUCACGUUUAUUUUAUGACGCACUGCACCCUAUGAAUAGUAUGAUAUAAGUUGUCUCCAUACUUUGACCCAAAUAUGUGCUUUUGGCAUUUGAGUACAAAAUUGGUAUUUUCUGAAAUGCACAUAUUUAGGGGGAGGAAACUAUAUCAUAGGAUUCAAAAUCUUAUUUAUCAAAUCUUAUGUAAGCUUUAAAUGUGUUGUCAUCAAUCACCAAAAAGGGGGAGAUUGAAAGUGCAUUCAUCCCUUUUGUGAGUUUUGGUGAUUUGGAUAACAACACAUUUAAAGGUCUAACAAGUUUGCUAAGUGUUGAACAGGGAAUUCAGUAUGAUGAACAUACUUGAAUAGUGUAUAAUGAUCAGUGAACAAAGUUCAACACAAGGUCAAAUAACCAGUGAGACAAUGCAAAUGGAUAUAAUAUGGUCUCUAUAUUGGUUUGAAUAUAUGGACAAGUCCUGAGAAAUCACUAUGCAUAAAUAUGAUCAUAAUAGAGGUUGAAGUGAUUAAGAGGAUUGGUCAAGCCAAAGUGAACAAGAUAUGAGGAAUCGUGAAUUGGCUUGACCAUAUUACUAUUAGUCCAUAUAUGAGUAUAUGAGAAUCAAACUAGAGCUUGAUUGAUCUUAGCAGUUAUAUCUAGAUGACAUUCAAGCAAGGUUCACAAUAUUGAAGAAAUGAUUCUCUCAAUGGAUGCUCAAUAGGAUGUGACUCAAGAAUGGCUUGAUAGGGUGAAGAUAGCAAGGAAAGGGCUUCGAGGAACUAAGCGAAGGUGAAGGCCAAGCGACGGCUUGUAGACCGAGGUACCAUGGCUAAGGUGAAGAAGAGAGUACUUGCACUAAGUCGAUGAACUAAUCAGCUAUGAAGAGUUACAACAUGUUGAUGCAUCAGUAAGGUGACUUGAAGCCAUGAUUUGAACUCAUAUAUGGUGAAAUGGCACAAGUCAUAGGCUCGAUUUGUGUUUGCUUCAAAAGGUGAGACAAAGAUGUUUGUGAUCCUUAUGAAGCAACACCAUGGAGAAAUCACACUUGAGACACCAAUGACUCAAGGAGUUUACUUAAUUAUAUUUUAUUUAACUUGAGUAUAGGAAUCGUCGUGCUAUCAAGGGGGAUCCAAAAAGAAGGUUGGUGUUGGUACUAAAGCUCAAAAUCCUUGAUCUAAAACUUCCAUUUUACCCUUGUUAAUCCUUAGUGAAAGUAUGUAGUACAACCUUUUUAAGUCUAUCUUGGUCAAAAUUGAUUUUUGGAAAAACAGGUUCAACCGGUUUUAAAACAGGUUCAACCGGUUUUUGCACUGUUCACCUUUUUUCAAAAUACUGGUUCAGCCGGACACUCAACCGGACACUCAACCGGUUUUUGUCUGGUGGAAACAGGUUCAACCGGUUUUAAAACAGGUUCAACCGGUUUUUGCACUGUUCACUUUUUUCUGCCAGUCUGCUGUGUCAGCCAAAAAGCUGUGCGCAGCUUUUUGAAAAACCGGUUCAACCGGUUUUGGGACCGGUUCAACCGGUUUUUGGGCAGAAAAGUCAAAAAUGGCUAGUUUUGGAGCCCCACCUAUAUAUACUCACUCCUACCUCUCUCCCCACAGAAGAGCACGCACAAAACUUCAUUCCCAACCUGAGAAACACCUCCCACUCUCUCUCACACACCUCUUGCCUCUCCCAUUUCAAAUCUUUGGAGAAGAAAUCUUUGAGUGAGUUUGAGAGCUGCGGUUUUUGUGCUUCAUCUCCAAAUCUCUCUUACUCUUCUUCAUUCGAGCUUUGGUACUACAUCGAGUUCUUUGUGGAUUCAUUACUCUUGGAGCUUCUAGCUCCUAGACGACUAGGUGUCUCUUGUGAGUCUCCAAAUCUUGUGGAAGACCACAAGAAAGUUUGUAUUACCCGCUCGUUUGAGCAAAGAUUAGUGUGUGGGCUUGACCUUUGUGGUCGACAAAGGGAGGAUUAGGGUUGAAAGAGACCCGGCUCUUUGUGGGCGCCUCAACGAGGAAGUAGGGCACCUUGGUGGUGUGACCGAACCUCGGGAUAAAUCUUGUGUCUCUUGUGUUCUUGUUCAUUGUGCUUAUUCGUGUUCUUCGUUCUCUCACCAUUCCGUGAAAGAUUUGUUUAUAUCUUUUUGGUGUGUGGAUUUUGAGAAGUGCCCUUCUCAGAUCUACUACUUUGAACCCUGUGGAUCAUUUAGAACAUCUCAUUUCCAAAGUUAACUGGGUGAAUUUCGAGAUCAAUUCAGUUUUACCCAGUUUGCUUCUAGUUUUUGUUGAAAAAGUUUUAACUUGCCUAUUCACCCCCCCUCUAGGCAACUUUCACUCCACUAGAUUUUGUUAUGUGUAUCUCUUAAAAACAAAAGAUGAAGCGUUCAAUUAUUUUAAGGCCUAUAAAGCUGAAGUUGAGAACCAACUUGAGAGGAAAAUAAAACGUUUAAGGUCCGACCGAGGUGGAGAAUAUUUCUCUAAUGUGUUCGAUGAGUUUUGCGUGGAACAUGGUAUUAUUCAUGAGAGGACACCGCCAUUCUCACCACAAUCCAAUGGGAUUGCUGAAAGGAAAAACCGCACUCUAACAGAUUUGGUGAAUGCCAUGUUGAGUACAGCGGGAUUAUCCAAGGCAUGGUGGGGUGAGGCGAUUUUGACAGCAUGUCAUGUCCUGAAUAGAGUUCCAACAAAGAACAAAGAGAUCACUCCAUUUGAGGAAUGGGAAAAGAGAAGAUUAAAUCUCUCAUAUUUGCGCACUUGGGGUUGCUUGGCUAAAGUGAAUGUGCCAAUCAACAAAAAGCGUAAACUUGGGCCUAAAACUGUUGAUUGUGUAUUCCUUGGGUACUCUUUUCACAGCACUGGGUAUAGGUUCUUAAUUAUAAAAUCUGAUGUGCCUGAUAUGUAUGUUGAUACUAUCAUGGAAUCAAGAGACGCAACAUUUUUUGAGAAUGAGUUUCCCAUGAAGAAUACACCUAGUGAUAUAAGUCAUGAGACUAUAAUUCCCCAUGAGCACGAACUGUCGAUUCCUAUAGAUCAUGCUGAGGAUUCUCACGUGCACAUCCCUGAGGAGGAUGACACUAUAGUCACUCGAAAGAGCAAGAGACAGAGGGUUGCAAAAUCCUUUGGUAAUGACUUUAUAGUGUACCUUGUGGAAGACACACCAUCUACCAUUAGUGAGGCAUAUUCCUCUCCUGAUGCUGACUUAUGGAAGGAAGCAGUAAGGACUGAGAUGGAAUCUAUUAUGUCUAAUGGAACUUGGGAGGUCGUUGACCGUCCUUAUGGUUGUCAACCUAUAGGUUGCAAAUGGAUCUUCAAGAAAAAGCUUAGGCCUGAUGGUACAAUCGAGAGGUACAAGGCAAGGCUUGUGGCCAAAGGAUAUACCCAAAAGGAGGGUGAAGAUUUCUUUGAUACCUACUCACCAGUGGCUCGAUUGACUACAAUUCGCACAUUAAUAGCCGUGGCAGCCUCUUAUGGUCUUAUCAUUCAUCAGAUGGAUGUUAAGACAGCUUUCCUAAAUGGAGAGUUGGAUGAGGAGAUCUAUAUGGAUCAGCCAGAAGGGUUUAUUGCGGAUGGUCAAGAGAACAAGGUGUGCAGGUUGAUAAAAUCAUUGUAUGGCCUAAAACAAGCACCUAAGCAAUGGCAUGAAAAGUUUGAUAAUACUCUUACAACAGCUGGCUUUGUUGUAAAUGAAUCUGACACGUGUGUAUACUAUCGGUAUGGUGGGGGUGAGUCUGUUAUGCUGUGCCUUUAUGUUGAUGACAUUUUGAUCUUUGGAUCAAAUCUCAAUGUGAUUGAGGAAGUUAAAAAUCUUCUAUCGAGCAAUUUCGAGAUGAAAGAUUUGGGAGAGGCUGAUGUCAUUCUAAACAUCAAACUUGUUAGAGAAGCUGAUGGUGGGGUAACUUUGUUACAAUCCCAUUAUGUGGAAAAGGUAUUGAGUCGCUUUGGUUUUAGUGACUGUGAUCCUGCUCCAACACCUUAUGACCCCAGUGUGCUAUUAAGAAAGAAUCGGAGAAUAGCAAGGGAUCAAUUGACAUACUCCCAGAUCAUUGGCUCACUCAUGUACCUUGCAAGUGCAACAAGGCCAGACAUCUCUUAUGCUGUGAGUAAGCUAAGUCGGUUUGUGUCGAAACCAGGAGAUGAUCACUGGCGUGCUCUUGAGAGAGUGUUGCGGUAUUUGAAAGGUACUAUGACAUACGAUAUUCAUUAUACCGGAAACCCAAAAGUGCUGGAAGGCUAUUGUGAUGCCAACUGGAUUUCUGAUGCUGAUGAGCUUUAUGCCACAAGCGGAUAUGUGUUUCUGUUUGGAGGUGGCGCUGUUUCCUGGAAGUCUUGCAAGCAGACUAUCUUAACGAAGUCUACAAUGGAAGCAGAACUCGCAGCAUUAGACACUGCUGGGGCUGAGGCCGAGUGGCUUCGUGAUUUCCUAUUGGACUUACCGGUUGUUGAAAAACCGAUACCGGCUAUUUCCAUGAACUGUGACAACCAAACGGUGAUUACAAAGGUUAACAGUUCUAGGAAUAACAUGAAGUCUACAAGGCAUGUUAAGAGGAGAUUGAAAUCUGUCAGAAAGUUGAAAAACUCUGGAGUUAUAACUGUGGAUUAUGUCCACACAUCAAAUAAUCUGGCAGAUCAAUUUACUAAGGGUCUAUCACGCAAUGUGAUAGAAAGUGCAUCGAGGGAAAUGGGUAUGAGACCCAUGUGAGAUCUACUCUAGUGGUAACCUGCUCUAUGUGAUCGGAGAUCCCGUGAAGUAGAGUGGAGAAACAAGCUAGGAGUAGAUUGUGAGGAAAGAUCCCUUCUUUAACUCAUUUCUGAUGCACAUCUUUCCUAUCUGUAAGGCAGGAUGGUUUUUACCUUAAUGUAUUCCAAGAGUCUUAUAAAGGUGAGAUGUUGUCCUACAGAACAUCUUCUGAGGAAUACACCUAUAUGAGUCAGACUGCUAGUCACAGUCUAUGGGAUUUGGGUAAUCCCUAAAUACUCAUGAAAGGCACUGAAGUGUGACUUAUAUGCUUCUAAACAGCGGGAAUACCCUUCUGCAGCCUAGUAUCAGCAAAGGAUUUGAGUGAAUCUUAUUUCGCACAAAACUGUCAAUUCAAGGCAUAGUCCAUUGUUCAGUUGUGAAUGAGUGAAACUCUUAUUCUAGAUGGAUGUUCAACUUAACAGUCUCCAUCGAAACACUGGUAUAUCAAAGGAUUGUGAUUCUGAUACUUCAUCAUUACAAACCCUAGAGUUUGGUGGGGAUUGUUGGAUCUUUUAUGGGCUUGGCCCAUUUAUUGAAUAAACUCUAUGGUGUGUAAUGGUGGAGAAUACCAAUAGUACCACAUUGGAAGUCCAAGGGUCCUUUGCCUUGACUUAUAUGGUGGGAUUUAUUCCACUUAACUUGAGAAGUCAAGAAAUGGACAAGGGCGUGCCACACACGCGCGCGCCGCCGCCGCCGCCGCCGGCCGGGCCGGGCGUGGCGUGGCGAGGCGAGGCGAGGCGAGGCAGGCAGGCAGGCAGGCAGGCAGGCGAGCGGGCGUGGUGUGGUUGUGUUAAUUUUUAGCACUCACUAACCGCGUACGUCAGCCGAGUGACCCUGUCUCUUCGUCAGCCAGCCGAGUGACCCUUCUCCUUCAGCUGCCGAUUUAUGGCGUGACUCGGCGAGAGCUGGCCGACUCAUGGCAUAACUCGGCUAGAGCUGGCCGACUCUUGGCGUGACUCGGCGACCUUUCUCCUUCAGCUUCCCUCUGCGAGAGGUUAAA